rnacentral:misc_RNA from 1 species
AACAAAUACCUCAGGCCAAAAAGCUCUUUUUUGGACCCUGGAUCUAGGCUGUGAAGUUUAUUCUGCAGCCGACCUCGAACGAGAGCUUUUGUUCUCUUUCCAGGGUCGGCCAGCCUGAAAUGCAUCCCACCGCGGCAAGGGAAAGAAAGGCGUGAUAGUUUGACCUCCGAGUCGAUCUUUUCGCCGAAGAAAACUCUCCCCGCGGCGAUUAGCAGGACCCGACGAAAGCGACCGGCCGGAGGCAAUUCUCCGGUUUUGGUUGUCUUUUGAUCUUCA